AGAAUAUUGAGUCAUUUUCCUGUUACCAUUUUUACUUAAAGAGCUAAAAAGUGUAAUAAGCAAUAUUCAUUUGACAAUGGUUAUGAAAUGACUUUAUAAAUUCUGUGUGUUUUUAUUUCAACAAAAAAAAUUUUUUUUUGCAAUUUUUUGGUGCAGUACACACUCAGAAGGGCUAAUGUGCUUGGUGUCUAAUCUGCUGAUAUUACCUACGUUGGUCUCUUUUAUACUUUAGUAUAUGUCUGUGGGUCAGGGAGAGCAUGAUGUUUGUUCUGUCUUCCAGCUUUCAAAGUUUUAUUUCCCAAAGCACCAAAGAGUAAAUAACUUAGAAGAGGAGAAAAGCCUGCCACCGUGUCUUACUAAUGAAGAGGAUCUUGGCUGUUUUCAGGAUGUUCUCCACAAUAAGAUACAUCAGAAAGGGAUGUCGGGUCUCGUGUUGAUGAGCAAGCUCGCCAGAACACGGUACCAUGCACGGAGCGCGGGCUCAGGCCGUGGAGUCAGGCAUGCUGGAGUGCUCUUUCGAAGCUCAGGCACCACCCACUGGGCAAACUCAUGGAUGCUUGUUCCGUUCCAAGGCACGUUGAUCGUACCUAUACAUCUCACCAAGAACAUGGAUGCUUCUCUGCUAUCAGCUGAAGCUGCUGUGACCCCAAAACUGAAAAAUCCCAUUCUGAAUCCUUGCCAAUAAAGAAUGUCCUUCAGAGCAGGCCCAGUAUCCUAUCUCCUCAUCCAGACAGUGUUUCUCAGUAAG
rnacentral:lncRNA from 1 species